rnacentral:rRNA from 1 species
GCGUUACUCGGAAUUACUGGGCGUAAAGCGUGCGUAGGUGGUUGUUUAAGUCUGUCGUGAAAGCCCUGGGCUCAACCUGGGAAUUGCGAUGGAUACUGGGCAACUAGAGUGUGGUAGAGGGUGGCGGAAUUCCCGGUGUAGCAGUGAAAUGCGUAGAGAUCGGGAGGAACACCCGUGGCGAAGGCGGCCACCUGGGCCAACACUGACACUGAGGCACGAAAGCGUG